rnacentral:rRNA from 1 species
GGCUUAUAAUUGAAGUCUGGCAUGAAAGAAUCUACGGGUAGUCACUGUCUUCAUUAGUUUUUCUGAACUUCCUUAAGAGGUGAAAAUGCCUUUAAACAUAAAAUAGACGAGAAGACCCUAGAAAUUUUUUACACAUUUAGAUUGAUCUAUUUUCUAUUUUGUUGGGGCGACAGAAUAACAUUUAACUUAUUUUAUUUAAUGUGCACUAUGUAAUGNGGAAAAACAAAUUACUCUAGGGAUAACAGCAUAAUUUUACUAGUUUGUGACCUCGAUGUUGGACUAGGGAUUUUAUUAACCAGCAGUUAACUGAACAUGCUCUGU